rnacentral:rRNA from 1 species
AUACGUAGGGUGCGAGCGUUAAUCGGAAUUACUGGGCGUAAAGCGAGCGCAGACGGUUACUUAAGCAGGAUGUGAAAUCCCCGGGCUCAACCUGGGAACUGCGUUCUGAACUGGGUGACUAGAGUGUGUCAGAGGGAGGUAGAAUUCCACGUGUAGCAGUGAAAUGCGUAGAGAUGUGGAGGAAUACCGAUGGCGAAGGCAGCCUCCUGGGAUCAUACUGACACUGAGGUUCGAAAGCGUGGGUAGCAAACAGGAUUAGAUACCCUGGUAGUCCACGCCGUAAACGAUGUCUACUAGUCGUUGGGUCCCUUGAGGACUUAGUGACGCAGCUAAC